rnacentral:snRNA from 1 species
GUGUUCGCUUUGGCAGCACAUAUACUAAAAUUGGAACAAUACAGAGAAGAUUAGCAUGGUUCCUGCGCGAGGAUGACAUGCAAAUUCAUGAACCAUUCCAUAUUUUA